GCUGCAUGGUGGUGCAGUUGGUAGCACUCUUGCAGACGGUCCUGGGUUCGACUCCCGGCCGGGGCU